AUGUUUCCAGCUGUCUGCAGUUUAUCUGAUAACCAUCUUUGUAUCAGGUGAUAAAUGAUUUACUGGAUCCAACGGGCCAAAAUUUACGUGUUAGAGAGGAUUCCCAGGGCACUUAUGUUGAGGGUAUCAAGGAAGAAGUUGUAUUGUCUCCUGGCCAUGCACUAUCAUUUAUUGCAGCUGGGGAAGAACAUCGUCAUGUUGGUUCAAAUAAUUUCAAUUUGUUGAGCAGCAGAAGCCACACUAUAUUUACACUGGUACGUU